GACCAAGGAGUUUAACAUGUGCGCGAGUCAGUGGGUCUUGAACAGGCCCAGAGGCGCAAUGAAAGUGAAGGAUGCCCGUGCCGGCAUCUGCGUUGGGAUCCCGGGACCCAGGUCCCGGGCGCACCAACGGCCCGUCCCGCCCGCCUCGUCGGGGGGACGGAGCGAGAGCGUACACGUUGGGACCCGAAAGAUGGUGAACUAUGCCUGGGCAGGACGAGGCCAGAGGAAACUCUGGUGGAGGUCCGCAGCGAUUCUGACGUGCAAAUCGAUCGUCAGACCUUGGUAUAGGGGCGAUAGACUAAUCGAACCGUCUAGUAGCUGGUUCCCUCCGAAGUUUCCCUCAGGAUAGCUGGUGCUCGAGUGGAAUCAGUCUCAUCCGGUAAAGCGAAUGAUUAGAGGCCUUGGGGCCGAAACGACCUCAACCUAUUCUCAAACUUUCAAUGGGUGAGAAGUCCGGCUUACGUAAAUGAAGCCCGGACACAGGAUGUGAGUGCCCAGUGGGCCAAUUUU
rnacentral:rRNA from 2 species